rnacentral:piRNA from 1 species
UGCAUUCAGGUUGCUGCCUCGGCUU